ACAGGUGCUGCAUGGCUGUCGUCAGCUCGUGUCGUGAGGUGUUGGGUUAAGUCCCGUAACGAGCGCAACCCUUGUCCUUAUUUGCCAUCAUUUAGUUGGGCACUCUAGGGAGACUGCCGGUGACAAACCGGAGGAAGGUGGGGACGACGUCAAGUCAUCAUGGCCCUUACGACCAGGGCUACACACGUGCUACAAUGGGCUGUACAAAGGGUUGCGACCUCGCGAGAGUAAGCUAAUCCCAUAAAACAGUUCGUAGUCCGGAUCGCAGUCUGCAACUCGACUGCGUGAAGUCGGAAUCGCUAGUAAUCGCGAAUCAGAAUGUCGCGGUGAAUACGUUCCCGGGCCUUGUACACACCGCCCGUCACACCAUGGGAGUGGGUUGCA
rnacentral:rRNA from 1 species